UGCGGGAUGGAGCAGUCUGGUAGCUCGUCGGGCUCAUAACCCGAAGGUCGUUGGUUCAAAUCCGGCUCCCGCAACCA
rnacentral:tRNA from 1 species